rnacentral:rRNA from 1 species
UGACGUCAAAUCAUCAUGCCCCCUUAUGUUCUGGGCUACACACGUGCUACAAUGGCCGGUACAGACGGACGCAAAGCCGCGAGGUGGAGCAAAUCCUAAAAAGCCGGUCUCAGUUCGGAUUGCAGGCUGCAAUUCGCCUGCAUGAAGUCGGAAUCGCUAGUAAUCGCAGGUCAGCAUACUGCGGUGAAUACGGUUCCCGGCCUU